UACGAAGGGGGCGAGCGUUGUUCGGAAUUACUGGGCGUAAAGGGCGCGUAGGCGGUUCGUACAGUCAGACGUGAAAUUCCUGGGCUCAACCUGGGGGCUGCGUUUGAUACGUGCGGACUUGAGUGCGGAAGAGGGUCGUGGAAUUCCCAGUGUAGAGGUGAAAUUCGUAGAUAUUGGGAAGAACACCGGUGGCGAAGGCGGCGACCUGGUCCGAUACUGACGCUGAGGCGCGAAAGCGUGGGGAGCAAACAGG
rnacentral:rRNA from 1 species